UACGUAGGGGGCUAGCGUUGUCCGGAAUCAUUGGGCGUAAAGAGCGUGUAGGCGGUCCGGUAAGUCCGCUGUGAAAGUCGGGGGCUCAACCCUCGAAUGCCGGUGGAUACUGUCGGGCUAGAGUGCGGAAGAGGCGAGUGGAAUUCCUGGUGUAGCGGUGAAAUGCGCAGAUAUCAGGAGGAACACCUAUUGCGAAGGCAGCUCGCUGGGCCGUAACUGACGCUGAGACGCGAAAGCGUGGGGAGCAAACAGG
rnacentral:rRNA from 1 species